GACAGAGGCCUCAAGCGUUAGGCGGAAUCACUGGGCUUAAAGCGUGUGUAGGCGGAUCGUUAAGUGCCUUGUGAAAUCCCACGGCUUAACUGUGGAACGGCUGGGCAUACUGGCGGUCUUGAGCCAUCUAGGGGCGACUGGAACAAACGGUGGAGCGGUGAAAUGCGUAGAUAUCGUUGGAAGCGCCAAUGGUGAAAACAGGUCGCUGGGGAUGAGCUGACGCUGAGACACGAAAGCCAGGGGAGCAAACGGG
rnacentral:rRNA from 1 species